GAUGAAGAACGUAGCGAAAUGCGAUAAGUAAUGUGAAUUGCAGAAUUCAGUGAAUCAUCGAAUCUUUGAACGCAUAUUGCGCUCUUUGGUAUUCCGAAGAGCAUGCUUGUUUGAGUAUCAGUAAACACCUCAAAGACUUCAAUUUGUUUUGAAUGGCUUUGGACUUGAGCAAUCCCAACACCAGUCUUUACGAUCGGUGGAGGGUUGCUUGAAAUGCAGGUGCAGCUGGACAUUCUCCUGAGCUAAAAGCAUAUUUAUUUAGUCCCGUCAAACGGAUUAUUACUUUUGCUGCAGCUAACAUAAAGGGAGUUUGACCGUAUUGGCUGACUGAUGCAGGAUUUCACAAGGGUCGGCAACGAUUCUUGUAAAACUCGAUCUCAAAUCAAGUAAGACUACCCGCUGAACUUAAGCAUAUCAAUAAGCGGAGGA
rnacentral:misc_RNA from 1 species